AAGUUAUGAACAUGGAGGAGUCGAACGGCAGCCUGGCAGCAGAGUUCAGACAUUUGCAACUGAAAGAGCAGAAGGUUGCCGGCAACCGAACCAACGAGGUGCCUCUGAUCGUCACUGAGGAGCUUCACUCGCUGAGCUUCGAGUCGGAGCUGCUGCUC